UGGGGAAUAUUGGACAAUGGGCGAAAGCCUGAUCCAGCCAUGCCGCGUGUGUGAAGAAGGUCUUCGGAUUGUAAAGCACUUUAAGUUGGGAGGAAGGGCAUUAACCUAAUACGUUAGUGUUUUGACGUUACCGACAGAAUAAGCACCGGCUAACUCUGUGCCAGCAGCCGCGGUAAUACAGAGGGGGCAAGCGUUAAUCGGAAUUACUGGGCGUAAAGCGCGCGUAGGUGGUUUGUUGAGUUGGAUGUGAAAUCCCCGGGCUGAACCUGGGAACUGCAUUCAAAACUGACUGACUAGAGUAUGGUAGAGGGUGGUGGAAUUUCCUGUGUAGCGGUGAAAUGCGUAGAUAUAGGAAGGAACACCAGUGGCGAAGGCGACCACCUGGACUAAUACUGACACUGAGGUGCGAAAGCGUGGGGAGCAAACA
rnacentral:rRNA from 1 species